UGCUGCGCUCCCCGGGGGAAUGACGCCCUCAUAAGGCGCCGGGCGCGGUUCGACUCCGCGCGCAGCAACCA
rnacentral:tRNA from 1 species